rnacentral:lncRNA from 1 species
UGUCACGGUACUUUUCUAUCCCAAAUUCAUGUAUUUGGUUUUGAUGUUAUAUUGGUUAUUCUCAUUGGAUGUUGUCUAAUGCUUAGUCCGUUGCUGUGUGUGUUAUAUUUUAAUGUUGUGUCGUUGUUCUCCUCUAAUAUUUAAUGCGUUUCCCUCAGUUUUACCUGUUACCCCGAUUUUGUUUUUUGUCCAUAGAUUUAUGAGUUUUGAACAGCGGUAUACUACUGUUGCCUUUAUUUAUAACUAUUUUGAUCUGAGCGUCACUGGUGAGUCUUAUGUAGACAAAACGCGCGUCUGGCGUACUAAAUUAUAAUCCUGGUACCUUUGAUAACUAAUUAUGCAUUUUCAAACAUUAUGUGCAAAUUCGAAAAAGCUCUCAAAAACUUUGUUUUCAUUGAUCAAAACUGGGCCGAAAUGCUUUAAAAGUCCUUUAAAGGGGCACCAAAACAAUAAUUUGACUAAAAUUCUCAUAUUUGAUUUAUAACAUACUAAAACGUAUAUUUAAAUUACAAUAAGUCGGAAAUGAACAGUUAGCACUGCAUGUACUCGAUAAUAUUUAUCAGAAUUUCGUGUAUAUUUUAGUUGCUGCUUAGUUAUAUACAAAAUUUGGGGGGACCAAAUUUUACACUGAAGUAAGGAAUGAUUGCUUUAUUCAGCAGAAAAAGUCAAUCCCUUUUGGCAUGAUAUCUUGGUUAAAAAGUUAAAUGUUGAAAACAAUAUGGAUAUUCUGGACCAGUCAAUAUAGCUAAACCCACACAUCCAAAUGGAUGGCAAGAUGAUUUUAAAGGUGACAUAUAUUGAAAAUUGCAUAAUUUU